AAACAGUAGUUACACACACACACUCACUCGCGCACACAGUAAGAUGAAUUGAAUGAAUACUUCUUUCGUUUUGAAGUAUGAAUCUAAAUCAGUCAAAUCAGACUCAUCCCUUUAAUUAAAAUGAGGGAGGUCAUUUAAGAUCAAACACAGAGCUGAAAUAGCCUCUCACUGUUACCAAGGCGGCCAGAGGGCGUCGAAACUGCGUUGAGUUUUACUAAUUAGCUCCCCUGCCAGGUUAAAGACUUUUUGAAGUAAAAAGGAGCAUCUCAUCUGAACCUGAUGACUAUCAUGGAUAUUUAACUGCAGUUCUGUGAGUAUCCCAACUUUACCAUGAAGAGGAACUGCAAACUGUAAGUCAUACGUUUCUCAUUACUCUUGGGCACAUUGAUGUAUUUUGGCUUCCUGGUGAGUUAACC
ensembl:lncRNA